AGCUUUGCACAGGGGCAGUAUCAUAGCCAAUGAGGUUUAUCCGAGGCACAAUUAUUGCUGAUUGAAAACAUUUCCCAAUACCCUGCCAUGAAGACUUGCAAUAUAGUUGGCAUUAGCCAUUUUUGACAGUCUCUACAGAGA
rnacentral:snRNA from 1 species